UACGGGGGGGGCAAGCGUUGUUCGGAAUUACUGGGCGUAAAGGGCUCGUAGGCGGCCAACUAAGUCAGACGUGAAAUCCCUCGGCUUAACCGGGGAACUGCGCAUGAUACUGGAUGGCUUGAGUUUGGGAGAGGGAUGCGGAAUUCCAGGUGUAGCGGUGAAAUGCGUAGAUAUCUGGAGGAACACCGGUGGCGAAGGCGGCAUCCUGGACCAACACUGACACUGAGGCACGAAAGCGUGGGGAGCAAACAGG
rnacentral:rRNA from 1 species